rnacentral:lncRNA from 1 species
CUUGUUUAACUAAUCAAGACAGGGUACAAUCAUAGCCAAAAGAAUACAUUCCGCAACAGAUUUGCGCCCUCAAACAGCAGAUCUAAUUUCCUCAAAUAUUCAAUAUCCCACGGUUGCAUUUAAACUAGAGAUCCCCAAAACUUUGCCCUAAAAAUUCACAACCUUACACCACCACCUCUAGGAAUGAAGGCCAUCUUUAGAUAGCAUCGUAAUCCAUUCUCCGUUUACCUAACACUAUAAUGACCUCCGGCAUUGACAUAAUAUUACCAUCAUCUACCAACGAAAAAGUUGGUCGAUAUCACUUGCGAGGACCCCAGCAGUCGGAGAACAUAAUAUAUAUCCUCGUCAGUAGUCGAUAAUCAAGGCUCGAACCAACAACUUUAGAACCGAGCUCAAACGCACAGAUGCACUACACUGCCUGAGCCAACUUCCCAGAGGAUCGAACAGCAAGCGAGCAGGACAACAACACAACGGCUCGUUAUGGAAAUCAACGAUCGAGAUCAAUUUCACCAAUCGCAAACUUCAACCUAAGCCGCAAUCAUAAACUGAUCGCGCCAUCUUUAGAUAACAUCAUAAUCAUUUCUUCAUCUACCAAACACCAUAACGACCUCAGGCAUUGACAAGACAUUACAACUAACUCCUCAUGAAAAAGUUUGCAUACUAGCAGCAAAGUCGGACAACAUAAUCUACAAAGGCCUCGGCAGUAAUCGACAAUCAAAGCUCAAACCGACGACUUCAAAACGGAGCUUGAGCGCGCAGAGAAUCGAACAGCGAGCCGACGACACAAAAAUCGACGAUGGAGAUCAAUUUCAGCGAUGGGAAGCUUCGACCGAAGUCGCAAUUGGGAAACCCAUGGAUUGGGGUCAUCGGAGAAGGAAUAGGAGGAACCUGGAGAGGAGGGUAAGGAUGAGGAAGGGCUUGGAGACGACGGAGACGUAAAGGCUUCGCCGGAGACGACGGAGACGUAAGGGAGACGAGUGAGACGACGGAGACUUCCACCGUCUAUCUCUGUACCCUGAGAAUCUCCCCUGAGCUCUACCGUACUUCAUUCCUUCUUCUUCCUCUUUUCUCUUCAUAUACUUCCUAAUCUAACAUACUCCUCG